AAUUUUUAAUUAAUACAACCACGAUGUAGGGAGACAGAGGUGGCACAAUCAGCAGUACCGCUACAUUGUUCUUGGCGAAUUUGACAGAAUCAGUUGUUCGUGUGACGUCAUUUUAGCAAACUGUUUUUAUGUAUGCAGAGA